GAUGAACGCUGGCGGCGUGCCUAAUACAUGCAAGUCGAGCGAACAGAUGAGGAGCUUGCUCCUCUGACGUUAGCGGCGGACGGGUGAGUAACACGUGGAUAACCUACCUAUAAGACUGGGAUAACUUCGGGAAACCGGAGCUAAUACCGGAUAAUAUAUUGAACCGCAUGGUUCAAUAGUGAAAGACGGUCUUGCUGUCACUUAUAGAGGGAUCCGCGCCGCAUUAGCGAGUUGGUAAGGUAACGGCUUACCAAGGCAACGAUGCGUAGCCGACCUGAGAGGGUGGUCGUCCACCCUGGAACUGUGACCCGCUCCACACUCCUACGAGCGGCAGCCGUAGGGCAUCUUCCGCAAUGGGCGACAGCCGUACGGAGCACCGCCACGUGCGUGCUGAAGGUCUUCGGAUCGUAAAACUCUGUUAUUAGGGAAGAACAAAUGUGUAAGUACCUAUGCACGUCUUGACGGUACCUAAUCAGAAAGCCACGGCUAACUACGUG
rnacentral:rRNA from 1 species